rfam:Dipodomys ordii contig_18903, whole genome shotgun sequence.
GGUGGCUCAAUGGUAGAGCACUUGCCUUGCAUGCAUAAGGCCCUGGGUUCGAUUCCUCAGCACCA